CACGUAGGGCGCAAGCGUUGUCCGGAAUUAUUAGGCGUAAAGAACUCAUAACCGGUCUGUCGCGUCGGCUGUGAAAACUCGGGGCUCAACCCCGAGCCUGCAGUCGAUACGGGCAGACUAGAGUCCGGCAGGGGAGACUGGAAUUCCUGGUGUAGCGGUGAAAUGCGCAGAUAUCAGGAGGAACACCGGUGGCGAAGGCGGGUCUCUGGGCCGGAACUGACGCUGAGGAGCGAAAGCGUGGGGAGCGAACAGG
rnacentral:rRNA from 1 species